CGAUAAACAGUAACAAUAAUAACACGGUAUAUAAUAAAACGCGCUAACCCGAUUUCGACCAUCCGUUUUUUUUUUUUUUUUUUUUUUUUAUUAUCGCGUAUAAUAAUUAGAUUCUAUGUGUUUACCAUAUGCACGUUAUGUUUUACGACCAGCUACACACUGCGGCGCUGUAUAUGGAAUUCGACUAGAGAGAGAGAGAGAGAGAGAGAGAGAGAGAGAGUGAGAGAAACGAAAAGUACGCGUAAUAAGUUCGAUUUUCGUUUUGUUUAACGUUAAGCAAAACGUACGAUAAUACAAUUUUUCAACCGUUUCCGAUCGGUCGAAAAACCGCGAGUAUUAAAAUGCCCGAAAAUAGCUCGAAAGGCGCCGAAAUUUCCCGGCAAUUAUACCGCGACUAGAAAACGCAAACUGUCGUGUUCUAAGUGUUCUGUGCAAAGAAUGUCCGGUCUCUACGACUACUUCUAACCGAAUAUCCCGACGAGAAAACAAAGUCGAAACCGUUAUUGCCGUACGUUUUUCCGAUUAUUGAGAAAACUACAAGUGAAAAAAAUCGGAAAACUAUUUG